AGUGAACGCUGGCGGUAGGCCUAACACAUGCAAGUCGAACGGCAGCACAGUAAGAGCUUGCUCUUACGGGUGGCGAGUGGCGGAAGGGUGAGGAAUACAUCGGAAUCUACUUUUUCGUGGGGGAUAACGUAGGGAAACUUACGCUAAUACCGCAUACGACCUACGGGUGAAAGCAGGGGAUCUUCGGACCUUGCGCGAUUGAAUGAGCCGAUGUCGGAUUAGCUAGUUGGCGGGGUAAAGGCCCACCAAGGCGACGAUCCGUAGCUGGUCUGAGAGGAUGAUCAGCCACACUGGAACUGAGACACGGUCCAGACUCCUACGGGAGGCAGCAGUGGGGAAUAUUGGACAAUGGGCGCAAGCCUGAUCCAGCCAUACCGCGUGGGUGAAGAAGGCCUUCGGGUUGUAAAGCCCUUUUGUUGGGAAAGAAAAGCAGCAGGUUAAUACCCCGCUGUUCUGACGGUACCCAAAGAAUAAGCACCGGCUAACUUCGUG
rnacentral:rRNA from 1 species